GCCUGCCCAGUGACAAUAGUUUAACNGCCGCGGUAUUUUGACCGUGCAAAGGUAGCGCAAUCGCUCGACCUUUAAAUAGGGACCUGUAUGAAUGGCUAAACGAGGGCUUAACUGUCUCCCCACUCAAGUCAGUGAAAUUGAUUUACCCGUGCANAAGCGGGUAUGAUAAUACAAGACGAGAAGACCCUUUGGAGCUUAAGGUACAAGGUUUAAGUUAUACCAAACUAACAAAUUAAAGUAACAAUCNNNNNNNNNNNNNNNNNCCUCUACUUCGGUUGGGGCGNCCACGGAGUAAAAAAUAACCUCCGAGAGGAAUGGAAAAACCAUAAAACCAAGAAAGACAUUUCUAAGCCUCAGAACAUCUGACCAAGAUGAUCCGGCCUAAAACCGAUCAACGAACCAAGUUACCCUAGGGAUAACAGCGCAAUCCUCUUUAAGAGUUCAUAUCGACAAGGGGGUUUACGACCUCGAUGUUGGAUCAGGACAUCCUAAUGGUGCAGCCGCUAUUAAGGG
rnacentral:rRNA from 1 species